rnacentral:rRNA from 1 species
AUCGAACGCUGGCGGCAGGCCUAACACAUGCAAGUCGAGCGGAUGAGGGCUGCUUGCUUCUGGAUCUAGCGGCGGACGGGCGUGUAAUGCCUAGGAAUCAGCUGGGCAGGGGGGGAUAACGCCCGGAAACGGGCGCUAAUACCGCAUGCGUCCUGCGCGUGCACCUGGGGGAUCUUCGGACCUCACGCUAUGAGAUGAGCCUGGGUCGGAUUAGCUAGUUGGUGGGGUUAUGGCCUACCAGGGCGGCGAUCGGUAGAUGGCCUGUGGGGAUGGUCGGUCACGGUGGAGCUGGGACACCGGCCAGGGUUCUGCGGGAGGGAGCAGUGGGGAAUAUUGGACAACAGGCGACAGCCUGGUCCAGCGAUGGCACGUGUGAGAAGAAGCUCCUCCGUCUGUAAAGAGGUUGCAGGGGGGGGGAAGGGCAUUCAGUUAGUACGUUGCGGGUUUGACGGUACCAGCAGAAUAAGCACCGGCUAACUUCGUG